rnacentral:lncRNA from 12 species
GCCAAGUGGAAAUUGCUGCUAGUGGAUAUGUUACAGCUGCUUGUGACAUUCUGAGAAGGUGGAUAUUUGCAAAUAAUACAGUUCACUUGACCCUCGCUGCUUGGCAAUGAAAGAAAAACAAUCUGAAGUACUUUCUUGGGGUUUUGGAGAGAUUGACAGGAAAAUGUCUUCAGAGCAAACGCACGCCAGAUGGAAUGAAAACGGUUUAUUGGAGUAUGGAGGUGCUGCUGAACUGAAUAGAGGGCGGGUUUAAGGAAAACUGCCUGACUGCUCUGCACUUUUAUAAGGCCCAAGACUCUUGAACCAACUACAGUGAAAUGGUGAACAAAAACCAUUCAACCACAGUGAAAUGGUGAAAAAAAAUGUAAUACAGCAGGAUGUUCCUUGACAGUAUUUUAUAAAAAGAAGAAUUAAAAAAAAAAAAAAGCAAAAAACUUUG